CCGAGGGUAUAUUUCAACGAUGAGUCCGUGGCCACACUGAAUAAAACUUUUACCUGCGCGGUUGUCGUUGCGCGCGUCGCGGAAAAUAUAAAUAAAGAAGUAAUACUCUCGCGCUUGUUUUUGUUGGUACUCUACGGGCCACAAAAACAGCAACAACAAUUGGGAUUCUGUUAGUGCGUGUUUUAUGAUUUUUAAUUUUUAAUAACAACGGAAACAGCAGGAUACCCUUACAACUUUGAUUCUGAAGAUCCCAACGAGUAAUACUGCGACCGCGCCCAAUAAAUCCCCCCCCGUCAAGACCAGUUCCAGAGAUUUUAUUCGAAACACUGACAAUAAUUCAAUCGGACCACA